rnacentral:rRNA from 1 species
GAUGAACGCUAGCUACAGGCUUAACACAUGCAAGUCGAGGGGUAACGAGAGGAAAGCUUGCUCUCCUUGUCGACGACCGGCGCACGGGUGAGUAACGCGUAUCCAACCUGCCCCCAACUAGGGAAUAACCUUGCGAAAGUAAGACUAAUACCCUAUAAUUUCCUCAGAUGUCAUCUGACGAGGAAUAAAGAUUUAUCGGUUGUGGAUGGGGAUGCGUCUGAUUAGCUUGUUGGCGGGGUAACGGCCCACCAAGGCAACGAUCAGUAGGGGUUCUGAGAGGAAGGUCCCCCACAUUGGAACUGAGACACGGUCCAAACUCCUACGGGAGGCAGCAGUGAGGAAUAUUGGUCAAUGGGCGGAAGCCUGAACCAGCCAAGUAGCGUGCAGGAUGACGGCCCUAUGGGUUGUAAACUGCUUUUAUACAGGAAUAAAGUUAGCCACGUGUGGUUAUUUGUAGGUACUGUAUGAAUAAGGACCGGCUAAUUCCGUGCCAGCAGCCGCUGUAA